ensembl:snRNA U6 U6 spliceosomal RNA
UUGCACUCACUUCAGUUGCACAUAUACUAAAAUUGGAACGAUACAGAGAAGAUUAACAUGUCCCCUGCCCACAGAUGACACACAAAAAAUUCGUGAAGUGUUCCAUAUUUUA